rnacentral:lncRNA from 1 species
UUGCUCGUCACCGCCGCGCGCGAAGGGAGGGGCUCAUCACUGCUGCUUUGCCCUUGUGUCCGUGCCUCCUGAGUUAUCCCUUUAGUUUUGGCUGGUUGGUUGCUUGGGAUUUUGGUGGUCUUCAUCAUCAUGCAAAAAAAAACUCAAGAAAAAAGAAAUGUAGACAGGAAUUAUUUGGAACCACAUUGGACUUGGAAAGAUGCAUGGAGUUUGUUU